AUCCUCACCUGUCAGGGGAGAUACCAUGAGCACAAAGGUGGUUUUCCUAGAUUGAGGCUCAUCUAUUGCACCCUGGGUGUGCUGACACCCGAUAUUUCCCCAAACAGGGGAGACUCAACUGCAUAAUUUGUGUAUAUGGGGGACUGAGUUUGCACUUUCCCUGA
rnacentral:snRNA from 1 species